GAAAGAAACAAUAGCCUUGCCUUUGAGGUUAAUGCAGUCACAAGCCAAGAAGAAGUCUAAGGUCAAAGAAAGGGAAGAGUCCAGCAUGGAUUUCACUGCCAGGUGGUAAGACCAGAAUGGGUCACUGUGGUCAUCUGCACCAAACUUCUCCCUUCUGGCUGGGCUAAAAGAGACCUGCAAUAAAGAAACACUGAGGGGUGAUUUAACAAUCCUCUGUGGUGGAUCUUGGCACCAGCUGCACGAUAUGUUGGAGGGGGCCUUGCUGGCCUGUGACCUUGCCUUUAUCUGUCGGUCUGUCACCACUGGUCUUCAAAGUGCAGCUUAAAGGAUCUGAGACUUCUGUGUGGCCUUGAUGUGAUCUGCUUUCCCAG